rnacentral:rRNA from 1 species
AUUCUGGUUGAUCCCGCCGGAGAUAACUGCUAUCAGGAUUCGGUUAAGACAUGCGAGUCUGAGCGCAAGCUCGGCGAACUGCUCAGUAACACGUAGUUAACUUGCCCUUAAGUAAGGAAUAAUCGUGGGAAACUGCGAAUAAUACCUUAUAGAUGAUUAUGGCUGGAACGCCUUAUCAUCCAAAGCUUCGGCGCUUAAGGAUAGGACUGCGUCAGAUUAGUUUGUUGUUGGGGUAAAUGCCCAACAAGACGAUAAUCUGUAUGGGUCGUGAGAGCGAUGGCCCAGAGAUGGACUCUGAGACUUGUAGAGUACUCUAAAUUUUUCUACUCUACUGGCAGAAAACAUUAGUCCAGGCCCUACGGGGCGCAGCAGUUGCGAAAACUCCGCAAUGCGCGAAAGCGUGACGGGGGAAUCCUGAGUGAAUAUGCUUUUGGCGUAUUCUUUUGUCUACUCUAAAGAGGUAGGCGAAUAAGUGGUGGGCAAGACGGUUAAGGAAUGAGAUAUUCUUGUUCUUCCGUAAGCCAGCCGCCACGGUAAUAACCGCGCCACGAGUGGUUAUCACGUUUAUUUGGCCUAAAGCGUCCGUAGCUGGUUGAAUAAGUCCUUGGUGAAAUUUGAAGAAUGCGGUGCAUUCUACAUUUUGCGUUCUUCGAACACAAAAUCGAACAGAAAACUGUUUGGCGUGCUAAGGAUACUAUUCAGCUUGAGACCGGGAGAGGUCAGAGGUACGUUAGGGGUAGGGGUAAAAAUUUCUCUUUAUCAAAAAAAGAGAAUUUACAUUCCGUUAAUCCUUAACGGACCACCUGUGGCGAAAAGUUAUAAUAAACAUAAUUUUUAUAUGACUUUUCCGCAUAAGGCGUCUGACUGGAACGGGUCUGACAGUGAGGGACGAAAGCUAGGGGAGCGACCUGGAUUAGAUAAGCCCUUUCUCUUUUAAAAAAGAGAAAGCCCUUGGGGAAAGAGAAAACUAUUCGACAGUUUUUCGACUGUAUAUUGAAAAAUUCUCAAGGUUCUAUUUUUUAGAAGGCUAUAAAAACCCAGUUAGUCCUAGCUGUUAACGAUGCCCGUUUGGUGUUACAAAACUCUUGGGGUUUUGUAGUGCCGUAGCGAAGGUGUUAAACGGGCCGCCUGGGGAGUACGGCCGCAAGACUGAAAACUCCUACUGGCAGAAUGUAGGGACCAGGAUACUUAAGGGAAAUAAAAGAAACUGAAUAUAUAAAAAGAUUGGAUGUAAAGAUUUAUACUGUAUAGCUAUAGCUUAACUCUUUUUAGAACACCUCCAAAUAUAAAUGAAUUUUUUAAUAGACAUUAUUGUGUUGAGCAACAUCUUAGUUUGUAUAAAGAUUUUUUAUUAAAAGUUCUCUUGGAAUUAAGAGAUAAUUGGUAUUUGAGUGAAGAUGGGGCGGAACAGUGUUUAAGAAAAGUGGAAGAUAAAAUUUGUGGUUUCUUUUACCCAAAUUGGCGGGGGAGCACUACCAGGAGUGGAUGCUGCGGUUCAAUUGGAUUCAACGCCGGAAAUCUCACCAGGAAAGACAGCAGAAUGAUCGGUCAGCCUGAAGGGCUUACCUGACAAGCUGAGACUUGAAGAAAAGAAUCAGAAAUAUUAAAUCUGAACUUUUGUUCUUUGAACUUAUCUGAAGGAAAUAUAUGUUAAAUAUUUCUUCUCUUCGAGCAGCAAAAGUGCUGCAUGGCCGUCGUCAUUUUAGGAAGACGCAUUAUUUUAAUCAAUAUUUUGUUUUCCUGAAACGACAUAGUUCGUGCCGUGAGGUGUCUUGUUACUUGCAUUUUGGAAAUUUAUUAUAAUGAUAUCCAAAUUUCUGAAAUCUCAAAAUCCUGUUUGGAUUUUGAAGAAAAUGCGGAGCUUUUUGAAGUCUCUGCUGCAAGCAGGAGAAGUCAAGAAACGAACGAGAUCUACGCUGUUAUUUGCUAACUUGUUCUCCGGAACAAAAGCACUAUAACAGGACUGCCCGUGUUAAAUGGGAGGAAGGAGUAGGCUACGGCAGGUCUGUAUAGCCUGAAUUUCCUUGGGCUACACGCGGCAUACAAUGCGUAGGACAAUGGGAUGCAACACCGUGAGGUGAAGCAAAUCUCCUAAACCUGCGCCUAGUUCGGAUCGUGGGCUGAAACUCGCCCACGUGAAGCUGGAAUUCCUAGUAAGCGAAAGUCAUCAUCUUUUGCUGAAUACGUCCCUGCUCCUUGCACACACCGCCCGUCAAGCCAUUCGAGUGAGGUUUCGAUGAGGCCUGUGUUGAGCAGUUCGAAUCGAAACUUUGCAAGAAGGGUUAAGUCGUAACAAGGUAGCCGUACCGGAAGGUGCGGCUGGAUCACCUCCU